rnacentral:lncRNA from 7 species
GUUUGGCAACUGCUUUAGCGUAGAUAACAGUUCUUGUGUAUGUAAGUAGCAUCCCAUCCCAGCAGUUCGAUGUGUAGAUGUCGCUUCUUCCUGAUGCCGCUCAUUCAUUCUAAGGCACAGAAUAAUGUAAUAAUCCUGCUGGAGAGUACGUGAAGAUUCUAUUGGCUGAAUGAAGCAAACAUGUAUGAUAAUUAAUUAACUACAGUAUGUGCAACACUACAGCUAGUAGUAUAUGAAUCAAAAUAUCUAAAUAAAUCAAAGAUAACAUUGUAUACCCCGCCUCGAUAAAAAUGCAAUCUUAUAUUUUCUACAUCCUCUUUUUUAACGAACCAGCAGGAGAGCAAAAGAAC